rnacentral:lncRNA from 1 species
AGGAGUUGCCUGAUAGGUUGGAGAAAGCACAAGGAAGCCAGGGCUGCUGGAACAGAGUGAAUGAGGCGAUCAUGUAGAGUCUUAUAAGCCAUUGCAAAGACUUUGGCUUUGACUUUGAGGUAGAUGAGAAGCUAUUAAGAAAGUUUGAGCAGAAGGAUGACAUGAUCUGAUUUUUCAUUUUAACCAAAGCAACUCUGUAUGCUGUGUUGAAAAUAAGCUACAAUGGGACUUGCAUUGCAGGAAAACCAGUUAGGAGGCUGCUGUAAUAAUCCAGGUGAGAGAUGAUGGUGGCUCGGACCAUGGUGGUAGUAAGGGAGGUGCUGAGAAGAGGUUAGAAUCUAGUUAUAUUUUGGAGGAGAUUGAACAGAAUUUACUGAUAAAUUGGAUGUGAAGUAUUUGAGAAAGGGAGGAAUCAAAGGUGACACCAAGGUUCUGGGCCUGAGCAACUGGAAGAAUGGAGAUGCAGUUUACUAACAUAGUGAGGACUACAGGAGUAGCAGGUUUCAGCAGUGGGCACAGGUGGAGAAGGGAAUUCCAAUGUUGAAAAUUGAGAGAGGUAAGGAUAAAGCUGCAGUGGAGAUUGAGGAGGAGAGGCCAGUGAGGUGGAAGAGGAUCAGGAGUGGAUGGAGUACCAGACACCAGCUGAAGCACAUAUUUCCAGGAGGAGGAAGUGGUACACAGUGUGAAAUGCUUCUGCUGACGUUAUGCUGCCAACAUGAUGCUGUUGAUCACAGAGUUGGAAAGAGUUGCUACCAAUUGGUCCCUGUGAACGAGUGUGAGCUGUCUCCAUCACACCACUGCAGGAAACGAUGACAAACAACAAAAACAAAAAGGCAUUGUGAGGGAUCCAGAAGAAGCAUAUGACCCGGCUUCACCCCGUCGCUGAGCCUGUGAAACGAAGAAGCUCACAUGUGUGAAAUAAUCUAUGAACAGUGAAGUGAAAAGCUGAGAAGCCUAAUGACAUUCAGAGAAUGUGGUGGCUGGAGAUGGUGGGUGCUGAGAGAUUCGUAUUGUUGGCUAAUUUGCAAUGAGUAGACCGCCUGACUGCAGCACCAGCUCGAGAGUAUCCAGUGGAGGACUCUGAGGCCCUAGAGGAUGAUGAAGCCAGUAAAUGCAAGGAAGCUGGAUUCCUGAGUCCCCAUUUGGAGGAGAGCUGCCCUGGAGAGCUGCCAGGACCAUGUGAAUUAGACUUUGCACAAAGGAGAAAUAAGCUUUUACUGUGUUAAGUCACUGAGAUUUGGAGAUUAUUUGUUAUAGCUACAGCUGUUAGCCUACCCUGACUAACACAGUGAUCUUUGAGGACCUCCUUACUUACCAUAGCGACUUGUACAUAGGGGGGUACUUAGUAAAUGUUUGUUGAUUAAGUUAAUUUUGUCCUAUUUUAAUCUGUCUUUAUUCAUAAUUGUCAGACGGUAAUGUUUUUAGGCAUAGGACUGAGGUUUCAACUCAAGUCCCAACCCUUGUUUUAUGAAACAUUAGAGAGUUCUAAUAAUCUUAGAUGACCUUAGUAUUUUCAAAAUAAAAUUGGUUUUAAUUACUGUUUUAAAAAAUAUGCCCUAUAAUACCUUUAGGACCAAGGUGGGUGGGAUUGGAAAUAGGGUACCCUAUUGCCCAAAAGAUUGGGAGUUUCUGCCUUAGAAUAUGGAUAUGAAUUCAAUGUUUUCACAAUGUUUCAAAGACCUUAAAUGAUUUAGACUCUACUCUAGACUAGACCAUCCUUCUGCUUCCAGAAGGAACUGUUUUUUACCCUCAUAGACACAAUAGCUGUUUAUACCUUAUAAAAUAACAACAGCAAGCCUCCCGAGGUGCGGUUUCCCUUAGGUAUUGUAUUCUAGGGUCUUAGAACUUUCAUAUUCCGGAAACUCUUCUUUGGGGAGGAUCAAAUAAAAUAUUAUAUGUUAAAGGCCUUUGAAAACAUUAAAGUGC